AUGGCGAGCCUCGCCGACGACGGCUUCUCGGCGGCGCGCCUCUUCUCGCAGGGCGUGUCCUACACCUAUGACGACGUGAUCUUCCUCCCGGGCUUCAUCGACUUCCCCGCCGACGCCGUCGACCUCUCCACCCGCCUCUCCCGCCGCGUGCCGCUCUCCGUCCCCUGCGUCGCCUCCCCCAUGGACACCGUCUCCGAGGCCGCCAUGGCCGCCGCGAUGGCCUCCCUCGGCGGCGUCGCCGUCGUCCACUCCAACACCGAGCCCCGCGCCCAGGCCUCCAUCGUCCGCGCCGCCAAGUCCCGCCGCCUCCCCUUCGUCUCCUCCCUCCCCAUCUUCUCCCCGGCCUCCGCCCCGACGCUCAACGACUUCGCGGGCCACGACUACGCCCUCGUCACCGAGCAAGGGGAUUCGCUCUCCAGGCUCCUCGGCGUCGCGGUGGCCGCCGAUGCGGCCUCGCCCGAGGCCCCUGCCCCGGUGUCCGAGUACAUGCGCCCCGCCCCGCGCUCGGCCUCCGCCUCCUUUGACUUCGAGCAGGCGGCGGCCUUCCUCGCCGACGAGGGCUUGGACUACGCCCCUCUCGUGUCCGAGGAGGGUGAGGUAAUCGACCUCGUCACCUCCAAGGACGUUGAGCGCAUUCGGAGCUAUCCGAAGCUAGGCAAGCCAUCUCUCGGAGCAGACGGGAAGUUCGUGGUUGCGGCCUCUAUUGGAACCCGUGAGGAUGACAAGCGAAGGCUAGAGCAGCUAAUUCAGGCAGGGGCCAAUGCUAUUGUCAUCGAUAGCUCGCAGGGGAACUCCACCUAUCAGCUUGACAUGAUAAGGUAUGCCAAGAAGACGUUUCCGGAGGUGGAUUUGAUUGGAGGCAAUGUGGUGACAAUUGGGCAGGCGCAGAAUUUGAUUGCUGCUGGAGUGGAUGGCCUGCGUGUUGGAAUGGGCUCUGGUUCAAUUUGCACUACCCAGGAGGUUUGUGCUGUCGGUAGAGGACAGGCCACUGCUGUUUACAAGGUUGCAUCAUAUGCCAAGGAUCACAAUGUGCCAGUUAUAGCUGAUGGUGGUAUUUCAUACUCUGGCCAUAUUGUGAAGGCUUUGUCACUGGGGGCUUCAACUGUUAUGAUGGGCAGUUUCUUGGCUGGCAGCCAUGAGGCUCCUGGGGCCUAUGAAUACAAGGACGGCCAUCGAGUGAAAAAAUACAGAGGCAUGGGCUCCCUCGAAGCCAUGACAAAGGGGAGCGAUGCAAGGUAUCUUGGUGAUACUCUGAAGCUUAAAGUUGCCCAGGGAGUUGUUGGAGCGGUAGCUGACAAAGGUUCUGUUCUGAGGUUUAUUCCGUAUACAAUGCAAGCUGUUAAGCAAGGAUUCCAAGAUCUUGGUGCAUCCUCUUUGCAGUCAGCUCAUGAUCUUUUACGAGCGGAGACUCUUAGAUUAGAGGUGAGGACCGGCGCCGCUCAAGUGGAGGGAGGGAUCCACGGGCUGGUGUCGUACGAGAAGAAAUCGUUCUAG
rnacentral:rRNA from 1 species